AUGUGUAUUUUCAAGGAUACGGAUGGUAUUUACAAGCAUCUAGAUCAAGUCACUUCUUCUUCAUCCGAGGUUUCAGUUCCCGAAGGUGGUUAUACAAACGAGCUCCUCUACAUCAAAAUGUACUCUCUUAAGAACCUCGUGACUACUGAUUUCCAAAACCUCCACCUAGAACUCCUAGCUGAAAUUAGGAAGCAAAGCCAAGUCUAA